CCAGAACCUUGUUGUUUCCGGAAUCAUCUCUGACCUUCUCUCUUUUGUCCACUCCACAGGUUCUUGUGUGAGAGCUGAGGCCUUUCCCAGACACAACAGAAACCAGAGGCUGUGGUUGAUCUCAUGACUUCCUCCUCAUUGUUUGCCUGUCUGUGUGACUGGAAACCGGCAGUGACGGACAGAUGACUCCGGUCACUCUUAAACCAGGCUUGUGGAGAAACUGGACCUGGCUCCCCUUUAGAAGUAGUGACUAAUAAAGGCCGACGGCAGAGCGCCGUGCUUUUCCCACACUUCUGAGGCAGCGUAACCUGUCAUGCUGACCUUGUUGCUCAACUCUGCUUUCAGCUUGAUGUCCAAAUUAUACCAGCACACUGCUGUCAAGUUGCUGAAGUGGUUUACACACAAUCCUGCACCCAGUGGUCAUUAUUUGUGUUCUCUCAGCUGA
rnacentral:lncRNA from 1 species